rnacentral:lncRNA from 1 species
CAGCUCUGUCCUUUAGCAGCUCUGUCCUUUAGCAGCUCUGUCCUUUAGCAGCUCUGCCCUGUUCUAGACUGUCCUUUAGCAGCUCUGCCCUGUUCUAGACUGUCCUUUAGCAGCUCUGUCCUUUAGCAGCUCUGUCCUUUAGCAGCUCUGCCCUGUUCUAGACUGCCCUUUAGCAGCUCUGCCCUUUAGCAGCUCUGUCCUUUAGCAGCUCUGCCCUGUUCUAGACUGUCCUUUAGCAGCUCUGCCCUGUUCUAGACUGUCCUUUAGCAGCUCUGCCCUGUUCUAGACUGUCCUUUAGCAGCAUGCCUUCCAGUUUUUCCACCAGGUGUUCAUCAGUGCCACCAGUCCCUCAACCUCAGUGACAGCAGCUUAUAAACCACUCACUCCCCUUGGUGUCAAAUGUGAAAUAUUUGCUGCUGUGAAUCACUGGUGGCCAUUUAAAUCAAGGAAGGUGGGCUCAUAGUAAUGGCUGGAAUGGUACAAAUGGAACAGUAUUAAACAUGGUUGGAUUCCAGCCAUAAUUAUGAGCUCUCCUUCCCUCACCAACCUCCACUGGAUGUGAAUAAAACCGGUAUGUGUUAUUGGGCGGUGCGCUCGGCUGGGACUAAGAAGAAAAACCUGAAUACACACCCAUCCUGUCUGGCAUCUACCUCUGAGAGGUGUUACCUCAGUUUCACUCUGUGUCAAGAGACACUUCAGGAAGGACGAUUAUCCACGCACACCAAGAGCUGCUCUAGGAAUAAGACUAUUUAGAAAACAACAAACUAUAGUUUACUUUAAGAGAAAGUUAGAAGUAUUUAUUUUUUUAAUAUAAAGGAGUGGGAGUCGAACUUGUUGACACGGUGAAAGGUAAACGUUGAAAUAACAAUACUAUACAAUUCUCUUUAAUUUUAGCUGGUUAGUUUUUGCUUUAAUUAACAAUGUCACUGUGCCUCAGCCUUGUACAGUUCUGCACCGCAGUCUUCAACACAGACCCAUUGUUCAUAACACUAGAGUUUAAUUAUAUGAAGUGCCUUGGUCCUCCAUUGUUUUUUACUAUUUAACCCUUUUACUAAAGGGCACCUUCCCUCUACAAAGAUCUGCUGUAUCCUUAGCAACACUUCCUUCCUCUUCUACUAAGUUCUCUCAACACCUAUGUUCAAGGCUACAAAAUAUGUGGUAAAAGGUACUUUACAGCUGUGGUUUUAAACAGCACAGGCAGCCAAUCGGGAUGUUUACCCCAUUUAUUUAAAGUAGAAAGUGGCUUCAGCUCGUAAUUCUAAAAACUGUGCCCUAGAUUUAGAUAUAAACAGGUUUUUGAUGAAAGGAUGACUGUGUAGCUAGAUCUAGCAGCAAAUCAGAACUGCUAAUCAUAUUACAAUGAACUUAUAUCUACCAUGGUAAGUGACUCCAUCAUAGUGUGCUGAAUAAGGGUUAGUAUAGGGUUCAAUUCCAGUGAGGUGAAUUCUGUUGAUUGUGGUGCUGAGUAUGUGGGUGUCUUUGGUGUGAUUUAGUCCAUGUCUUCAGGUAGAGGGUUCCUCUGUGAUGUUACUAGACGUGGUUUAGUCCAUGUCUUCAGGUAGCAGGUCCCUCUGUGAUGUUACUAGAUGUGGUUUAGUCCAUGUCUUCAGGUAGCAGGUCCGUCUGUGAUGUUACUAGACGUGGUUUAGUCCAUGUCUUCAGGUAGCGGGUCCCUCUGAUGUCACUAGACGUGGUUUAGUCCAUGUCUUCAGUUAGAGGGUCCCUCUGAUGUCACUAGACAUGUCAGGGAUCACAAUAAUACAGCUUUGUUAUUCACAGGAUGUAACACCUUUUGUGGAUAAGACAAUGACUAUUGAUUUACUGAUGUAUUGAUUAACAAAUGAAUUGUUCCCUUCUCUCUCUCGGCAGUGACCAGGCAGCUGAGACGUUGGCUCAUCACUAUAUUGAUUUGCAGAUUGCUUUGAUAACAAAUUUAUGGACACUUUUUCCCUGUUUUCAGCAGUCGCCAGACAGACAUGGGCUGCUGCUUCAGCGGGUCUGAGGGGGACGGAGAGGGGGACAUGAAGCACGGGGGGGACAGCGGCUGUAAGACGUGCUGUCUGAAGACCAGGAACUGCGUGAUGAGUGGAGAGUGUGGACGGGCUCUUCAGAUUGCCAACGUCUGUGCCAUGUGUGGAAUGUGCAUCCGCAUGUUUGUCUAGCUGCGACUCCAUGAGGUCAGACCUGCUCUCAUUCCCAUGGUAGCUGUACAGAGAGCUGUGAACAAUAGGACCGGUAUGCCACUCUCCCAUGGGUGGAUCACCUGGGAUCCAGCCAUGUUACAAAAGACACACACCCUGGACCCGCCCUGUGCCUUAGUGCCAAUAGAAUCAGCACCCUGGACCCGCCCUGUGCCUUAGUGCCAAUAGAAUCAGCCCCCUGGACCCGCCCUGUGCCUUAGUGCCAAUAGAAUCAGCCCCCUGGACCCGCCCUGUGCCUUAGUGCCAAUAGAAUCAGCCCCCUGGACCCACCCUGUGCCUUAGCGCCAAUGGAAUCAGCACCCUGGAGCCAAGCAGGAAGGAAUGUGAAGCGUAUCCUGUAAUUGAUGUCCUUGUGCAAUAGUACUUGUCUUCCUCUUCUGUUGUAAAACAUCUUGGAACAGUGUGCCCUAAUGAACAUGACUCUGUCCUGCUGCUGUUUAUGCAGAGCUCCAGCUGGAGAGGGAACAGGCAGUAGACUAGGCCCAACAGGCAGUAUGUAUGCACAAACACAAACACAUUGUUCAAGCCACCAAGUGGCCUUUUGAGUACUGGAAGAUCACGCAGGGAGUAGGUGGAAACAUAUUCAUACCGGCGAAGAGACUGUACCACCAGGAACACUCGGCUGUGAGGGGAAAUUAUGUUUGUUGUGGAGAGAGGAGGGGGACCGAUACGGGGGCAGAGAGAGAGAGGGAUGAGAGCGGAGCUAGAGACAACAAUCUUUUUCAUGCCAAAUUCUCAAUAAAACGAUGCUUACAGGAAGACACCAGAAUGUACCAGAUAUAAAAUCUGAUAAUCCUUAUUGUAACAAAGUGGUUUGGAUGGAAAAGUGCUCAUAGACUGUGUCCCAGAUGGCACCCUAUUCCCUUCAUAGUGCACUACUGAUAAGAGGAGGAAACUACUAGAUGAACUGAGCAUGCUGAAACAAACCUUUGUGACAAACCAGUCACAGUGGUAGGAUGUCCAUGUCCUCAGAAAAUCAUUCCAUCUCUCUGAGUGUCCCAGAUGGCACUUGAUUCCCUUCAUAGUGCACUACUUCUGACCAGGGGGUGUAGGGUGAAUAGGGUGCUAGGCAGGUUGUGAGGAUCUCUCGUUCUCCUUAAGUAUCUAAAAACCAAGUGUGUUGAUACAGAAUUGUGCCUUUCAGACUGGACUACAGUACCAUGUUGACCUAUUCUUCACUGCUGAGGUGAACCUUCCCUCUUCCAAACUUUCUUUUAUCUGUAGAAAGUAUUUUUCAUCAAUGCUCUUAUGCUCCUUGACAGUCCAAUAUGUAAGAAAAGAGAUGUGCUUUUUUUAUGAUUCAUUUGUUUUUUGUAGGGUGUUUUUAUAUAGUCUUUUGGGGGUGAAUUGUCUUCAUGAUGUCUAUUGGGAUGAUCAUUUAUUGUGCUCAGAAAAUAAUUUCUAUACUGUAGGUGUCGUAGCUAGGGAAGAAACUAUCGGUAUGGUUCAGGCUGUGUCCCCAAUGGCACCCUAUUCCCUAUGCAGUGCACUACUUUAGACUAGAGCCCUAUGCAUCCUGGCCUAAAGUUGUACACUAUAUAGAUAGUCGGAUGCAAUUUGGGACGCAGUACUUUGUUGUAGUGAUGACUACACACCAUUUCUAUGUUCACAUUGUGUAAUGUAUUACUUAAUAAAGAACUACCAAGUGUACCGCCUGGUGAC